UAAGUUGUCUGAACCAAUAAGAAUACAGUGGGCGGUUCGGAGAGGAGGCCCCGGGUUGGCUAUUUAAACGUGUGCUUCGCAGCUUCUUACCAGAUAAUAUCGAGCAACAGCAACGGUAUUACCUUUAAGUGCGAAUUUUGCUUCCUUGAGUGCGUGAGCUUUUUGAUCAGUGGAAGAUGGAUAGAAAGAGUGAGGGCAAGUAUGCUGGUACUGGCGACAAGGCCGAUUUGGACAACCACUCUAAUCAGUGCAACCCUACCAACAAGGAGUAUGCAGGCCACAAGUCUGAAUUUGGGGGCAACAAAGCCGAUGCCGACAACCAUGCCAACCAGUGCAACCCAAAUAACCCAACCCAUAAAGGAAGCAAGUAAGCACUGGUAAUUGUACUUGGAGUUUCACAAUCUUCACCGUUACCAUCAGGCACUCGACGACCAUAUUAAAAAUUAAGAUACUAACUUUCCUGAACUGCUACUCCAUCAACAGCGUUCAGUGAACUUCAAUCUAAAUAAUACAACUAUUGAGAAAUAAACUUAUUAGCUUUAGUGUGAUUAUUGUGUAAAUUCAAGUAGCUGCAACAACCUUUCAUUUUACUGCGUUAAAGUCGAGCUGCCACUAAUUUGCAAAUUUGAAUAUUUUUAAUUUUGAGACUGUAAUUUACUAUCUUGAAUACUUAAUGCAAACAUUAAUGCAAACAUGUAUUUUACCAUCUUUAGUACCUUGUGCAAACAUGUAAUUACCAUCUUUAAUAUGUAAUGCAAACAUGCAAAUUGAUUUAUUAAAGUAAUGUUAUUUA